CACACACGAGCGUCACUAUUACCUUGUUUAUCUUUUAUUUAUCAGCGAAAACUAAAAAAGUGGUACAUUAGUGGCGCUAGUGAGCCGGGGGCGAUGGGUGAAGCCUAUUCUCAAGAAUAUGGAGUCGCUUUAAUGUUGUACAAGUCGACUAAAGGAGCACAUACCGUAGGAAGCAAAUAGGCAACAAACAGGUUAUUCACGGACGGAUGGACUUGACGGCGUCAUAGCCCCGAACGCAACCGGAAACUUGCUGAGAUGAGAGCGAUAUUUUAAACUAAAAGUUAACGUGGUGGUGAUAUAACAUAAAACAAACCAUUAUGAUGCUAGCAACUUGGUCUUGUAAGGUCGCUUACUCCCGGUGAAGGAAGGAAAAGGUACUUCCAUGGAAAAUCAUUUCCAUAGGUUGUUUUUUUCAAAUAAAUAUGACCUGUUUAAUCGUAUGCUUUUUGUAUUAUAUUAUCUGUGCAAUUACCGCAAGGAAACUUUUAAGACGCAGUACACGAUGUCAUUUUUGAUACAUUUCAUCUAGCAGGACAAGUCAAUCUAGCAAAAAAUCAGAGAAAAUGUUUUCAAUUUAUAUCCCUCUGCUGGCGAUGUCCGCUGUGUCGGCCGUGUCCGUGGUGUACCUGUACUGCGCCAGCCGCAUGAACAGAAGGAAAGGCUACAUGGACGUCACUGAGAAACCUUCAGCCCCCGCUAUACCAAAGUAGCAAUGAAUAUGACCGAAGAUACUGAUAAUUUUCUUGUGUUCCUCUCGCUGUGUCCUCUUCGGAUAAAAGCUAUGAUUUGUGUAAGCAACUAUAUUUUAGUGUAUUUUGACUAGGGCGUAUGCAGUAGUUUCGUAAAUAAAAGUACAACAUUUGUGUAACAGAUUAUUUAUUAAAAUAUAUUCUACUAAAAAAUCAUAACAUAGUAUGUACAUUCAACAAUACACCAACCUACAAAUUGUAGGGAAAUAAGGCACCUAUUUUAUAUAUUUAUAAUUACAACACAGGUUUCAAGACUAUGUUGGUAAUCCCUACUUUCACCGCAAAAAAUUCAUCAAACAAGCAAAAGGGUUGAGCAUUUUGUUAAUUUAAACAUCUCCAUUAUUAAAACUAAAUAAUCUACAAAAUGCAUAUUUUUAUGCACCACAAGACUUAGCUGUGCCAAUAAUAAUAUUUAUUUAAUAAAAAAAAUGUAUUUUGCUCCUGAUACAAAAAUUAAUAAAAAUACAAAAACAAUUUUAACAAUAGGAUAACCGACCCCUAUUUUUCUAUUGGUAACUAACUCUUACAAUGGAUAGCCUAUCUUUUCCUUUUAAAAAUACCUCACCGUGUGUACAGCUUAGGGAACUAUAAAAUACCUUGAUGGUAUAUAUAUAUAAAACAUU